AGGACGAACGCUGGCGGCGUAGCUUAACACAUGCAAGUCGAACGGAGAAUAGAAGGAAGCUGCGAAUCUAUCUAGUGGCGGACGGGUGAGUAACGCGUGGGUAACCAACCCAGUAACACCGGGGACAACCCUGGGGAAACUGGGGCUAAUACCGGAUACGUUCUUUCUAGGGGCAUCCUGGGGGAAGAAGAAAGGCGGCCUCUGAAUAUGCUGCCGAUUAUGGACGGACCCGCGUCUGAUUAGCUAGUUGGUGGGGUAACGGCCUACCAAGGCGACGAUCAGUAGCCGGCCUGAGAGGGUGACCGGCCACACUGGGACUGAGACACGGCCCAGACUCCUACGGGAGGCAGCAGUGGGGAAUAUUGCGCAAUGGGCGAAAGCCUGACGCAGCAACGCCGCGUGAGUGAGGAAAAGGCCUUCGGGUCGUAAAGCUCUGUCAAGAGGAAAGAAGUGUACAAUGGCUAAUACCUGUUGUAUUUGACGGUACCUCUAAAGGAAGCACCGGCUAACUCCGUGCCAGCAGCUGC
rnacentral:rRNA from 1 species